rnacentral:misc_RNA from 1 species
CUCUUGGCAUCAAGCGAAGUAACGAGCUGGUUGUACGAACAGAAAGGAACCCAAAUCGUUCAAGUUGGAAUUCAGGGAGAAGUGUUACGGACUGUUGAUUUGAAGAACGAAUGCGAUGCAUUUACACUUGGACCAAACAACGAAAUAAUAGCAACACACUUAGAGGCGCAAUCAAUCACCAUUAUUACGUCAUCGGAAACUUUCAAACGUGAAAUUUCUACUUCACCCUUGGAGCCAGAGGGUAUCAGUUUAGCAAAUAAUGAUUGUUUAUUGGUGACUUUGGUAGACAAUUCCAUGGAAUUCUCGUUAAACGAGAGAAGCAGAAGACUAGUUAGACUAAUGGCAGUAUCUGGGGAGGUCAUACGGGACUAUGAAUACAGGGAGGAUCGCAAAACGAGGAUGUUCACGCUCCCUAGACAAGCGAUACAGAGAAAAAACGACGAUAUAUGUGUCUUGGAUUAUCUAAAUGAGAAAAAGGGCAUUCUUCAUGUGAUAUCAAAUGACGGUGAAAAACUCGCCGUAUACACAGGUAGGAAUCUUGAAAAAGAUUUCUUCCCGACCGAUGUCGUUGCAGACGACAACUGCAACGUCAUUCUGACUGAUCCCGCCAAUAAUGUACUGCACCUGUUAGAUAGCGAAGGACAGUUCCUCAAGCUACUUACACCCCAACAAGACAGUUUCUCCAUUCCGAUUUCGUUGUCCCUGUUUGGAGACACGAUGUGGGUUGGAAACUUUAAUGGCAGGGUUAGCAUUUACCAUUAUAGGAAUCAUAUCAGAUAGUUGUAUACAAGGUUAUAUGGCUGUACAUGUACAUACGAAAAAAAUGGUUUUAAUUCAUAGUUAAUUUUAAAAAGUUUGAGAAAAAUCUAAUAAACAUGAAAAUUC